UUACUCGUUCUCACAGAACUACAUGCACAUGGGUAUGUUAUAAUUGCGAGUUAUAUAUACCUACACCCUAGGUUAGGCAUAGCUACCUACAUCCCCUUAAAAUACCGCGUUUAGCCCCAACCCUCCACUACCCAUUUACCUCAUUUAUUGCAAAUCAACCCCCUACCCAAUAUUUAUAUACAAUAAAAAAAUUAUCAUUUUAGAUUCAAUUUCUCUCUCUUCAACCAUCCUCUUCAUCAUUAUCUUUGCAUUUUCUCUCUAUCAAAACCUUCAUUCUAGCUGAAAAUUACUACAAAAUACUCCAAAUUUCUGAUAUUGAGACAAAAUUCUUCAAUCGUGACAACUAUAUUUACAAAAUUAAUGCAGAAGAGUAUUUCAAAGACCAAAAAUAAAGGAUGUGACAAUACGUAAGUGCUAAUAAUCCACUACUAAAACUUAAGGUUUUUGCAACCGUCUCAAACGGUCGUUGAAAAUAGCAAAAAUGGUCGCUGAAAUUAAUUACGACCGUCGACGGUCGUAACAUGACGGUCAUUAUUCACAUAGUUGCAAAAAACCAAAAUUACGACCGAGGAUGAGACCGUUUUUAUUAAUUUCAACGACCGCAAGUAAAUUGUCACAAUAAUAUUAAUUGCAACCGUUAAUGAAAACGCUCGCAGAUUUUGUAAUACCCGAAUAUUUUAUGAUUUUAUAUAAUAUAUUUUAUAAAAAUAUAGUUUAUUUCUAUUUAUUAUAUAACUUUUCUAUUCUCAUAUUUUUAUUUUAGAGUUCGGAAAGGUUUAAAACCCUAUUUUAAUUUAAAUAUGACUCUUUAUCUUUCUAAGCGUAUAUAAACUAUUUUAACCCUAUUACUAUUUGUGCGGCCGUAAGUUUUGAUAUUAAGUUUCCUUUCUCGUGGGUUAUAGCUAGCAGCAGCCAUAUUGCCAUGAAUUCAUAUGAUAAGUAUUUAUCUUCAUAAAACUCUUGAUCAAACCCAUUAUUAUUACUUUUCCCAAAAAUUACAAGUUUUGUGAAUUAGUGGAGUACCUUGCUGUGAGUUGUUUUUAAUCGUGGAGUAUCUUGUUAUUAUAUUUGCUUAAUUAUUUUCGGAAGGUAAUCACACGAAUCCUAAUCCUUGGAGUUGUUUAUUUGAUAAUUGAUUAUAUUUUGUAUUAUUAUAUGUAAAAUUUAUGAUUUAUUUGUAUGAUCAAGAUUUAUAUAUAUGUGAUUAGUUGUGUAUGUAUUGUAUUAUAUGAUAUAAUUGUCGUAUUGAUUGAUUGUGUUAUUUUUCUAGUGUUUUUAAUGUUAUUGUUAUAGGGAGUAUUGUUUUAUCGAGGUUUUAGGGUUGUUAAUGCAGAGUAUUAUUUUUGGGUUAAGAUUUGAUUAUAUUUGAGUUAUUAGUAUUUUUUUUAAAGAGUUGAGAUAUUAUAAAUCGAAUUGUUAUACUAUUUGGGAACAUGUGCCAAUAUUGAGAAUUAAUAUUGAGAAUUUAUUAUCAUGUGAAAGAUUAUUUAAUCGAUGUAUGAGAUCAAAAUGUUGAGAAUUAUUAUUUUGUUAUUGAUUUGAGGCUCGGCAUUAUAGACCUUAGUCCUUGGCAUAUUGGUAAUGAGAUAAUGAUCAUGAGUUAAGAAUGAGGUACAAUUUUUAUUAUUUGUUUUUCUAUGCUCCCCUACAGUGGAAAUUGGCCCGUAUGUGGUCUGGUUCAAGGUAUUUUCUAGUUAUUGGGAGUAUUCAAGUUUUUAUACUUGUUGGUUUUAUUCGAAUUACCCAUGUCCAAGGCUAGGUAUAGGACAACAAGCAUGGCACACUUAUGGGUUAUAUGAGUUAAGUGAGUAAAAGUUCGUAUUAUUAUUCGAGGUUGAGUUUGACAAAGGUUAUUUCCAGAGUAACAAUGUGUAAUGUAGUUUCGAACUACAUUGUUUAAUUGAGCUAGGAUUGUCAAUUAUUCAAUUAUACUCUAUAUUCUGAUAUGUGGUGAUUACUCAGCUUUUGCUGACGUGUGUGUGUUGUUUUGUUGUGCUACUUGUGUUUGCGGCCAUAUCUUUUUUCUUAUGGUGGCCCUGCGACGAUCUAUUUUGAAAUUUGUCCUUAAUGGUGAGCAGUCAAGAUUGUUUAAGCAGGUUGAUCAAGUGAUCGUAGCUGAAGGAGCUCAAGUAAUCUAUUAGUAUUUUUAUAAUGAGUUUGUAAAGUUGUAUAAAUAGCCCACUUAGAUUAUUGGGUUGUAUUAUUGUGAUUUUGUAAGCCUUAAUACUUGACAUGUUGUCGAGUAUGACAGUAAUACCUCUGAUUUAGGUGUAUGCUUCCGCAAUUUUAUUUAAAGUUUGUCUAUUUUUCUUUUA